AACACAUGCAAGUCGAACGCGAAAGUCCCGCAAGGGAUGAGUAGAGUGGCAAACGGGUGAGUAACACGUGGGUGACCUGCCUUCGAGCGGGGGAUAACGUCCCGAAAGGGACGCUAAUACCGCAUGACAUCCUGCCUUUGAAGAGGUGGAGAUCAAAGCUGGGGAUCGCAAGACCUAGCACUUGAAGAGGGGCCCGCGCCUGAUUAGCUAGUUGGUGGGGUAACGGCUCACCAAGGCAACGAUCAGUAUCCGGUCUGAGAGGGCGGACGGACACACUGGGACUGAGACACGGCCCAGACUCCUACGGGAGGCAGCAGUGGGGAAUUGUUCGCAAUGGGCGCAAGCCUGACGACGCAACGCCGCGUGGAGGAUGAAGACCUUCGGGUCGUAAACUCCUUUCGAUCGAGACGAAUGGCUUCCGGGUGAACAAUCCGGGAGAAUGACGGUACCGAGAGAAGAAGCCCCGGCUAACUCCGUGCCAGCAGCCGCGGUAAUACGGGGGGGGCAAGCGUUGUUCGGAAUUACUGGGCGUAAAGGGCUCGUAGGCGGCCAACUAAGUCAGACGUGAAAUCCCUCGGCUUAACCGGGGAACUGCAUCCGAUACUGGAUGGCUUGAGAUUGGGAGAGGGAUGC
rnacentral:rRNA from 1 species